CCGACUUUCCCCCUUUGUGCCCGUGUUUACGGUGGUUGCAGUGUCGUUUUGGCCUGGUGUCAGUGUGUUGUCGGUGCUGCUUGGUGGAUUUAAUGACUGUUUGCCUCUCAGGUAUGUGUAUUUGUAUAAGCUUGUUGUAUUGUGAUCCUUCGAUGUGCUGUUAACAUUGUUACAUGCUGAAUAGGUGCGUUUCCUGUACCCCAGGGUGCUAUCGGUGGGCAUGAUUUAUAGAUCUGUGCCUGUACAUUUUCUAUUUUGCAUGAUACCUUGACGGAUUCUCCCUCUCGUUCUUUCUUGUUUUAUAUUGUAUUUACUGCUGUUUUUCCGCUUUGCGCUGCUGACGUUCUGCUCACAAUCCUACGGUUUUGCUGUUCACACUGUCGUGCAGACGCCAUCAUCAUCGUUGUUGAAAGGGGAUUGUUCGUCUGGUUCCUAUUGUUUCGUUUCUUG